GUGGCUGUAGCUCAGUUGGUAAGAGCACCCGACUGUGGAUCGGGAGGUCGGGGGUUCAAGUCCCCUCAGCCACCCCA
rnacentral:tRNA from 1 species